UGGCACUAAGAAUGCAGUUCGAUUUGUGAUAGAGAGUGGCUCUGUUUAUUGAACUGAACAGGUUUUUAAUUGUAUGUCUGUCUUCAGCUGGUUCAAAAUGCAAAGUGAAAAAUAUGCAGAAAUAGAAAAAUUGAAGACUUGGGCUGGAAUACCUUACGUUUCUCUUUAGAUAAAGUGAUGUCAUCAAGUUUCGCUUUUUCAUAACUGGUUACAAGGAAAAAGAAAAAAAUACACACGAAGCCAAGAAAACACUAAAGAGAAUGCUUAAUGAAAAAGUCUUGUGUAAAUGUAAGGAAAUUCAGUCAUUUUGUCCAUUCCUCCAAGGCGUAACAUAUUAGACUGCGACCAUGCUGGGGCACAACCUUGAAGGACUUGAGUCGAACGAAUUGGUCCCAGGAGUUUAUUUUUUUCUUUAAAACCUGCAGAUAACAUGAUCUGUCUUGAAACUUUUACCAUUAUUACGCCAACUGUGACUUUGGUUCGAGGUUAUAUGACGCCAUUCAUCUGCUACCUUCACAAUUCAUAUAUCUCAAGUUAUAAAAACGAAUUCUAUCAAGUUAUAAUUUGUUUCAGCCAUGCAGCUGCGGUCAUGCUGGAGCACCACCGUGGUUUUGCACUGUUACUUAUGAUAAUCCUUCGGCUAAUUUCCUCAAGCUGGUGGGGUUUCACAUCACCACCCCUGUACGUGCCUUUGUCUCACCUGUUAACCCAUUUGGUGUAUGAGGGAGCUUGAUUUCGCUGCACUCGUCUCUACCUCAUGCCGAGCCGUUGGUUCAUCCGGUAUUGUGGAGAGGAAGAUGUCUAGUUCCUUUCUGAAGAUAUCUACGUCCACAUUAUGCAUACACAGACAUGACAGAA
rnacentral:lncRNA from 1 species